AGGAAAAGAAACCAACAGGGAUUGCCCUAGUAACGGCGAGUGAAGCGGCAACAGCUCAAAUUUGAAAUCUGGCUCUCGGGCCCGAGUUGUAAUUUGUAGAGGAUACUUUUGAUGCGGUGCCUUCCGAGUUCCCUGGAACGGGACGCCAUAGAGGGUGAGAGCCCCGUCUGGUUGGAUGCCAAAUCUCUGUAAAGUUCCUUCAACGAGUCGAGUAGUUUGGGAAUGCUGCUCUAAAUGGGAGGUAUAUGUCUUCUAAAGCUAAAUACCGGCCAGAGACCGAUAGCGCACAAGUAGAGUGAUCGAAAGAUGAAAAGCACUUUGAAAAGAGAGUUAAAAAGUACGUGAAAUUGUUGAAAGGGAAGCGUUUAUGACCAGACUUGGGCUUGGUUAAUCAUCUGGGGUUCUCCCCAGUGCACUUUUCCAGCUCAGGCCAGCAUCAGUUUUCCCCGGGGGAUAAAGGCGGAGGGAAUGUGGCUCUCUUCGGGGAGUGUUAUAGCCCACCGUGUAAUACCCUGGGGGGGACUGAGGUUCGCGCAUCUGCAAGGAUGCUG
rnacentral:rRNA from 1 species